rnacentral:tRNA from 1 species
GGGCGGUUAGCUCAGCUGGUUAGAGCGCCUGCCUUACAAGCAGGGGGUCACUGGUUCGAGUCCAGUAUCGCCCACCA